rnacentral:rRNA from 1 species
CUCAGUUCGGAUUGGAGUCUGCAACCCGACUCCAUGAAGCUGGAUUCGCUAGUAAUCGCGCAUCAGCCACGGCGCGGUUGAAUACGUUCCCGGGCCUUGUACACACCGCCCGUCAAGCCAUGGAAGCCGGGAGUGCCUGAAGUGCGUGACCGCAAGGAACGCCCUAGGGUAAAACCGGUGACUGGGGCUAAGUCGUAACAAGGUAGC